GAUGAAGAACGCAGUGAAAUGCGAUACGUAAUGUGAAUUGCAGAAUUCAGUGAAUCAUCGAGUCUUUGAACGCACAUUGCGCCCCCUGGUAUUCCGGGGGGCAUGCCUGUCCGAGCGUCAUUGCUGCCCUCAAGCACGGCUUGUGUGUUGGGCCUCCGUCCUCCUCCCGGGGGACGGGCCCGAAAGGCAGCGGCGGCACCGCGUCCGGUCCUCGAGCGUAUGGGGCUUCGUCACCCGCUCUUGUAGGCCCGGCCGGCGCUUGCCGACACAUCAAUCUUUUUUCCAGGUUGACCUCGGAUCCGGUAGGGAUACCCGCUGAACUUAAGCAUAUCAAUAAGCGGAGGA
rnacentral:misc_RNA from 1 species